rnacentral:lncRNA from 1 species
AUUUGAAUUUGUGAUCUCUCAUGUUUCAUGGCAACUAUAGACAACAACGACAGAGUCAACAUUUAACUUACGUUGGAUAGCAUGUAGGCAUCAAGCUGCCAAUCUUGACAAGGAGAACUGAGUACAUGAAAAACAAGUGUUCAUAUGUAAAACAACACAUGCCAUGCCAUCCAACAUUGACCAAGGAUGACUUCAGCCACCUUGCAAUCUCGAGCUGGUCAGACCCACAGGACGGUUGCCGCUCUGGGUUUGCGAGGCAAGGGCAAAUUAAAAGAUUAAAAAUCAACGGGAGCACACGGCAUGAUGGAA